UACGGAGGGAGCUAGCGUUAUUCGGAAUUACUGGGCGUAAAGCGCACGUAGGCGGCUUUGUAAGUCAGAGGUGAAAGCCUGGAGCUCAACUCCAGAACUGCCUUUGAGACUGCAUCGCUUGAAUCCAGGAGAGGUGAGUGGAAUUCCGAGUGUAGAGGUAAAAUUCGUAGAUAUUCGGAAGAACACCAGUGGCGAAGGCGGCUCACUGGACUGGUAUUGACGCUGAGGUGCGAAAGCGUGGGGAGCAAACAGG
rnacentral:rRNA from 1 species